rnacentral:ncRNA from 8 species
UUUCCUCUCUGCCCCAUAGGGUGU